ensembl:lncRNA
GACAGGAAAUUGAGGCUGUUCCCUUGACCUCUCCAGACAACUUCGUGGUGACUUCAAGCCCUCUUAUGAGGUGGUGGAUCAUAGCUACCGUUGAUUGAGACUAUGUGUCCAGACUUCCAGAGAGCAGACAUAUUGAUGCAGUCGAAUUGCCCACCUUUCACAUUCCCCUUAUUGUUCCAUGGAUGGAGUAUAAUAAAUUGGCAAUUAAUGGAAGAGAAAAGAAGGACAGAAUAAUGGGCUCCAGAUUCGCAAGCCCCACCAAGAGGAUCACCCCAGGAACCCUUGGAGGCUGAGGAGUUCACUGAGGCUAGUGCAUCUCGAGACUCAGGAUGAAGACCCAACUUGGGGCUGUCAAAGAGAAGUGCCCUUUCUGGUUUCCCCUGCUGCCCAUCGGGAUGCACUCAGGCAGCAACUGUGCAGUAAAUGGGACACCUUUAGCCUCUGGUUUCCCAGAGCAGAGAGCUGUCAACACCAGAAGCUAUUUUUGCCUCACCUCUGGUGCUCUGGAGUGGCAGGCCAGUCACAGGUGUGGUGCAUCAGACUAUGAAGAGGCAGCGUGGCCACAACUCCGUGCCGGGAUGCUGACCUCUUUGAGGCAAACAGCAUGAGCUGGAAAAAGUGUGUCUAUCUCAGAGUUAAAAACUGGUGAAUUCCCCCAUUGCUCUUCAGCAUCUCCUGGGUCCGUAUGAUCUGACUGCCACCCACUAUCCCUUUUCCUCACUGGGCUCCAGACACACUGGCUUCCUUCCUUCCUGAAGCCUCCAUCUGCUGCCGAGCUCAGGGCUUCGUCAGAUGCUCACCCUGCCUGUGCUGCUUCCUGCAGCGUGCUGAAUUGUGUCUCGCGAAAGAUAUGCUGAAGUUUGAACUUCCAGAACCUGUGAAUGGGACCUUAUGUGUAAUAGAAAUAGGGUCUUCACAGAUGCAGUCAAGUUCAGAUAAGGUCACUCUGGAUGAGGGUGGCCCCUAAUCCACUGGCUGGUGUCCUGAGGACAGAGACACACAGUGGGGAGGCCUUGGGAAGGUGGAGGUAAAGGUGGGAAUGAUGCAUCUCCAAGCCAAGGAGCACCGAGGAUCGCUGGCAACCACCAGACUCCAGGAAGAGGCAAAGAAAGGUUCUUCCCUACAGCCUUCAGAGGGAACACGGCCCUGCUGACACCUUGAUUUCAGACUGCUAGUCUUCAGAGCUGUGGAAAAACACUUUUCUGUUAUUUUAAGCUCCCCAAUUUAUAAUAUUCUGUCAUGGCAGCCCCAGGAGACGAAUACAUUCCUUUCUCCUCCUUCAGUUCACACCUCUAGUGCCAUCUCCUUGAAGAGAUAUUCUUUAACUCCCAGUCAUUACUAGGUUCCCAAGUUCUACACCUUUUCCCCUGUAACCUAUUCCCAUGGGAGAUUCUCUUUUGGUAGCCUCCCCCGACAGAGUGUAAGCCCCUUUGUGUUCAGGUUGCUCACUAUGGGUCCUUAGUCUCUGAGGGCAUCUUCAGCACACAUUGUGUGAGCAAUCAAUUUUUGUGGAAUGAAUGCAUUGCAAUCUGGAGUGAGCCUUCUGGGCCUCAGAAGCAUCUUGCUUUGAUUCUGUCUGUGCGUUAUAAGAUCCCAGUCAGAAGGUUGCCCUGGGUGCUUCCCCUAGAAAUCCUCAAAGUACAAUUAUUCAAAUUGAGUCACUCAGCCCAUGGUACCCUACGGUUACAGAUGACACAAGAAACAUGAGAACCUCUGAGGACUUUCCAAGCUGGGGUCUGUUCUUACUGUUUAGCAUGAAAUGUGUUUUCCUGCUAAGAACAUGAACCAGAAAUGAGUUUUACCAAGUGGUUAGCAAGACCUUAAAUAGAAAGGAAACUCCAAAAAAUGUAACUUCUGUCACAUUUAAGCCUCCUUUUCAACUUCCCUUUCCUGCUUCCCAUCACUAGAACCUCCAGAUCUUAUUUCCUUGGUUAUGAUGAAUGGUGGCCCCUAUUUCAGACCUCCCCGAAUUCUGCUGAACUUCCCCUCUUUGGGUUUUAGACAGAGAUGGGUGGUAAGUGCCUCUAGAACUGACAUCUCCUGUGAGGCCCUUCUCUUACAUGCUAGGUACGUUUGACCUCUGAUGGAUUCAGAAUGGUCUUUAUUGAGCACCUACUAAGUGCUAACUUUUACACUAGGCAGUUUGACACUCUGUAACUUCUUUUUCAUUUACUCUGUUCCAAAAACUUAUGUUCACUAUGAUGUGAUCUCGCUUUGGAUCCAUUUUGCUGAUGAGGAAAUUGAAGCUCAGAGAGGUCAAGUAAUUUGCCUAAGGUCACACAGUUAAUAAAUGGUAAAGCCGUUUUCGAUUCUACA